CUUUCUUUCUUUCUUUCUUUCUCUUUCUUUCUUUCUUUCUUUCGAAGAGAGAGAGAGAGAGAGAGAGAGAGAGAGAGAGAG
rnacentral:miRNA from 1 species